GGCAGUCAGUGAAACCAGAGGGAAAUUCAGCGCACAAGCAACAGGAUGAUGAUUUGCGUUCUGCCCCCUUCGUAAAUGAGCAUGAUUUUGGCUUGGAUUCUAAC